rnacentral:rRNA from 1 species
AUGUUAAACGAGAAGACUUCAGAUAUGAUCCAGAGUACCACGGGACACGUGAAACCCUGUGGGAAGCAGGAGGGACCACCCUCCAAGGCUAAAUACUACCUAGUGACCGAUAGCGUAUAGUACCGUGAGGGAAAGGUGAAAAGAACCCCGGGAGGGGAGUGAAAUAGAACCUGAAACCCUGCACUUACAAGCUGUGGAAGCACAUUUCUUGUGUGACCGCGUACUUUUUGUAGAACGGGCCAACGAGUUACGUUAAGUAGCAAGGUUAAGCACUUAAGGUGCGGAGCCGUAGCGAAAGCGAGUUUUAACUGAGCGUUCAGUUACUUGACGUAGACCCGAAACCGGGCGACCUACCCAUGAGCAGGAUGAAGCGAAAGUAAAAUUUCGUGGAGGUCCGAACCCACGAGCGUUGAAAAGCUCGGGGAUGACUUGUGGGUAGCGGUGAAAUUCCAAUCGAGCCCGGAGAUAGCUGGUUCUCCCCGAAAUAGCUUUAGGGCUAGCCUCAAGGUGAGAGAUACGGAGGUAGAGCACUGAAUGUCCUAGGGGGUAUUGCACCUACCGAAGACUAUCAAACUCCGAAUGCCGUCAUCUUAUACUUGGGAGUCAGACUGUGGGUGAUAAGAUUCAUAGUCGAAAGGGCAACAGCCCAGAUCGUCAGCUAAGGUCCCUAAAUGUAAGUUAAGUGGUAAAGGAUGUGGGAUUGCACAGACAACCAGGAUGUUGGCUUAGAAGCAGCCACUCAUUCAAAGAGUGCGUAAUAGCUCACUGGUCGAGUGAUCCUGCGCCGAAGAUUUCCGGGGCUAAAACUUACUACCGAAGCUACGGCAUCAGUAAUGAUGGGUAGGGGAGCUUCCCAUACGGGUUGAAGCAUGACCGUAAGGACAUGUGGACAGUAUGGGAGUGAGAAUGUUGGCAUGAGUAGCGAGAUGUGGGUGAGAAUCCCACAGGCCGUAAACCCAAGGUUUCCAGGGGAAGGUUCGUCCGCCCUGGGUUAGUCGGGACCUAAGCUGAGGCCGAAAGGCGUAGGUGAUGGACAACAGGUUGAU